rnacentral:misc_RNA from 1 species
UACGGAGGGUGCAAGCGUUGUCCGGAUUUAUUGGGUUUAAAGGGUGCGUAGGCGGCCCGUUAAGUCAGCGGUGAAAGUUUCCGGCUCAACCGGGAGACUGCCGUUGAUACUGACGGGCUUGAGUGACGGAGGGGUACAUGGAAUUUAUGGUGUAGCGGUGAAAUGCAUAGAUACCAUAAGGAACACCGAUAGCGAAGGCAUUGUACCGGCCGUCCACUGACGCUGAGGCACGAAAGCGUGGGUAGCGAACAGG